rnacentral:lncRNA from 1 species
GAAGAUAAAACCAAGAAAAAUGGAGUGAAACUUUGCUCUCUGUGUUGCUCCCGUCAGUUUCUCCUUGCCUUUGCCUUCUCUCCCCUCUGUCCUGCCUCUGCGAGCUGCCUUUCUCACGCUGCCAAGGGCAGCUUUUCUUCUCCCCCUCCAGUCAGUCCAUGCUGCUCCUUUAUAUCGUGUCCAUGCACUGCCCUCUCUUCUUCUUUUCUUUCUGUCCGCACUCAGUCCCGCACUACCUCUUUCAUUUUAUAUUUUUCUUUCUUUCCCAGCUGCUGUCCACUUCCUCUAACAGACUCUCUCCUAUCUCCCGUCCCCUUUUUUAUUUCUUUAUUUUACUUUUCUUCUAUUGCCAAUGCUUUGCUGUAUUUGUUGCCUUUCAGACAAAACCAAAGGGCAGCCUUAAUCAUUCAUCAUGAUUAUUCAUCAUGAUUUUAUGCUUUAUGCUCUUCUUUGUCAUCUUUGUCUGCUUUCAAUUCCAAUCUGCAAGUUGUCGUCAGCUAGACCUUCCCUUACUCAAAUGCCCAUAACUUCUUCUAGAAAAAUGAUAUUAACAAUCCGCGAAAUGUUCUAGAAAAUAGACAUCUGUAGCUUUCCAAGAAUAUAAGGCUCAUUCUCUAAUUCAUUCUGAGCUGUUCGAAAUUUGCUCCCAAAGUCAGCUGAUCUACACAGGCAGUUUUGACGAAUUUAUUACUUAAAAUUUCACUUGUUCUAUUUUUAUUUUCUUUGCUAGACAAAUCCUAUAAUACGCAAAAACAAAGUAAAUAGCUCAAUAAUAUAAGGAACUAACUAAGAAAAGACGAGUGAAUUCGAAGUAAAAAUAUAUAUAAAUAUGAUCCGAUCAAAUACCCCCACACUUAACUUUUGCUAGUCCUCGAGCAAAACAAAGAAAACAAGAACAAGAAGUAACAAGAAAAACAUUAGCUUCCCUCUAUGUGACCCUCAUAGAAUUUCAUUCGAGAACACAAAUCAACAAGAACCAUAGCUGGCACCAAACAAGCUAAUCCAAGUUCAUCUUCCUAAUUCAAAUAUUAGCAGUAAUCUUUAAAUCAUCCUUGAAGUGUAGUGUGUGAGAUAGCCAUGCUAAUGUAAUUUCAAGUUUUUAUUUUUAAAAUCAUCGUAUGCAAACUAGCGACCUUCUCACGGGAUAUGCACUCAAUCACACAUGUGUUUAGUUUUAAUGUGUUUCGCUCAAAGAAUCAAAUGUGAAAUUUCUACCAUAAGCUUGCAUAAAGAUCUCAUCUCCACAAUCAUAAUUGCAAAACUUAAAUCAAUAGGACUUUUAUUAGAUGUAAUGAGAUUUAGGGAGAGGGUUAUUGAAAUGAAAGAAUAGGUAAACACAAGUUCCAAGCUACAUUGCAAGCAAUUCUUUUCUUUAGAUUUAUAAGAACUCAAUCUUUCCAACGAUUCUUUUAGCACCUCCAACCACACUCUUAAACUGAAACUUGAACAACUUUUUUUUUCUUUGUGUACAAUCUUUCUUUUUCUUUUCUUUUCUUCUCUUUUCUCUUUUUUUUUUUUUUUUUUUUUUAAAUACAAACAUGAAAUACCCCCACACUUAUUCUUUUGCCAAACACCUUCAAAGUACUUCACAAACGUUUCUCAUAAGACAAUCUCGCAUUGCUCGCUUGGAAAGGGUAAGGAAAAAUGUUUCAGGUAUAAGGGUAGACAUAUCUGGUGAUAAGAAAUAAAAGGCUCAACAUACACGGCUCAAAUUGGCAAUCUAAUGAUAUCAUUUUUUCUUUGGGAAACAUGGUUAUUUGGGCCAUAGUGGUAAACCUAAUGCCUCUAUCAUUUCCAAAUUCAUGCAAUCAAUGACAAACAUUUCGAAAGUUCGUUACGCAAGUUCUAGAGAUGUAUCUCACAUAAGUUCAUCACACAUGAAAGAAUAGGAGUGUAUGAAAAAUGCACACACUUUCAAUAGGCUCAAAAACUCACAUAGGAUGUAUAUGGUCACUAAAUUAACAUAUGAAGCUUUAAGUCAUACUUUAGUUUCACAUUAACAAGGCUAUGUGCAUUUGGUUUUUUCAAAGAUGAUCAAACAUGUACAAAACUAACAAGAGAAUUAGGAAUUUCACAAAACACAUGUUAACUAAGUUCUUGAUGAUCAUGGUUCAAAUUUGAUCCAAUUAUAUCAUUGGGUCGGGAAACUAAUAAAAAUACAAUUCAAAACAAUAAGGGAAACAAGACAAUAUUUUUGGAUUUUUAAAUUUUCCGAUUUUUUUUUUUUUAAAUUUUUUUUUUUUUUUUUUUGUUUUUUAAAAAGAAAACAAAAAGUAACAACAUGGAAACAAAUGAAACUCGUUCGUAGUUGAAGGUACAAAAAAAAUUUCAAUUUGGUCAUUUUUUUUUUAUACUCUUUACCCCCAAACUUAAACUGGACAUUGUCCCCAAUGUCAGAAAACACUAUAAUGCAAAUAAAAAUAAAAUAAAUAAAUAAUAAAAAACAAAAUAAAGCAAUUGGACUGAAAACUUCCCUAGUUUGCAGUAAAACCAAGCGAUGACCCCCAAGCUAAAAUUCUGCAAUCAACUUCAAGGGUGGAAAUAACCAAAAAUUCCUGCAAAGAAAAGAGAUAAUUUAGUUAAGUAACGCAAGAAAAUGUAAAAAAAAAAAAAUUGCAAACGAAAAAUUGAAAAUCACGAUAAAAGACAAUGAAUAGAACUAAUAAGUGAUCAUUGGUCGUGCUUGUUGACUUUCCACAGCUUUCCUCUUGAACGGGGUGACACUUAGCUUUUUACUUGCAAGUGAUGAUUUGAUGAUAUUGUACGGCGAAGCUUUGCUCUUUGGCGAUGUUGUUGAAGCUUCUUGAGUUCUUCAACUCAGAUUCCUUCUGCUCUCGAGUUGAUUGUGCAGGCUCAAUUCCUUAUUUGUUCUCCAAGCAGAUGUGGCAGCUUCUCUAGUUCUUCAUCUCAGACUCCUUCCGCUGGGAUGAUUGUGCAAGCUGCAUUCUUCUCUGCUUGUUUCUUCUGCACAACGGGCAGGCACGAGGGAGAAGUGUUGGUCUGUUUCUUUCUUCAAUCUUUCCAAGUGCCCACCUCUUGCUCUCUUUCUCCUUGUCCUUAGUUGAGGAUGAAUCAGCACGUUGUCUCCACAUGCUUCGAGGUAUCAUCUUCACUUCCCUUAUAAGUGAGAGACAAAGAGAAAGCAUAAGAUGAUGAGUACUCGAGAGCAAGAGCUGGCUGGAGAAAGGACAGGGAGAAAGCAUGAUAUGAGAUACUCUUGCUUUCAACCUUCAUGAUAUGAAAUACUUUUGCUUUGGAUGGGUUGUUUGCAGAGGUACCCCAAGGAAUAAGGAAUACAGAGUAACUCGAAAGGUUUCUUUGGGAAUACAUUCUCGGAGAUGAAGAAGUGUUGAGAGGGUGUGCCUUUGCUAUGGGAAGGCGAAGGUAGAUACUUAUAGGACUUUUCUUCACAACCGGAACUAUUCCCUCACUCAUUGUCGGCAGCCGGUGGAUGGAUGAAUAGUACAAAUUACGCGUUUUCUGACAAAGCUGCCCGUAAUUUCCGCAAAGCUGCCAGUUGCAUGUGACGAGUGACGACACGUCUGGACAAAUUGAUCUUUUGAAAUCCGGGGUUCGGCUCGUGGUUUCUGAGUAAGCCCAACUUUUAAGAAAUGAAACGCCUCUUUUGAGAAAAGAAUCCGGCUUUUGAGAAAGGAGCCCCGACUCUUCGAUUUGCGAGAGGACGCUUCUUCGAUUUCUGAGGAGCGCCUCUUUGAUUUCUUCUUUUUAUAGAGGCGUUAAUUUUGUUCCACAACACACUUGAGCUCCCUCCUGUAAACAAUCCCUUCUUGCACUUCCAAAAUCUUAAUCUGUCCGAUCUUUUCUUUCUUUAACACCUCUGAAAAAUGUCUGGCCCUUCCGACCGUCGUUUUGACUUGAACAUUGGUGAAGAGGCAGCUCCGCCUUCACCAGACAACAUAUGGCGCCCAUCCUUCAUAUAUCCCCAACCGGUCCCCUUACCGUGGGGAUUCGGUGAUGAAAAAUGACAUGACCGCUGCGGUGGUGGCCCGGAACCUUGUCACCCCCAGAGAUAACAGACUGCUCGCUAGACGGUCUAAUGAAUUGGCGGUUAAGGAGUCUCUGGCUCUUAGCGUGCAGUGUGCGGGUUCUGUGUCCAACAUGGCCCAACGCCUAUUUGCUCGAACCCGUCACGUUGAAUCGUUGGUGGCUGAAAUACAGAGUCUCAAAGAGGAGAUUAGAGGACUCAAGCAUGAAAAUAAACAAUUGCACAAGCUUGCACACAAUUAUGCCACAAACAUGAAGAGGAAAAUUAACCAGCUGCAGGAAAAUGAUGGUCAGAUUUUACUUGAUCACCGGAGGUUUGUGGGUUUGUUCCAACCGCAUCUGCCUUCGUCUUCUGGGGCGGCACCGCGUAGUGAAGCUCCAACUGAUCAACCUCCGAUACCUCCUCCUUCCGUGGCCCCGCCGACUGCUGAAGCUCCGCCGACUACUGAAGCACCACCUGACCAAUGAAUGCUAUUAGUUUACACAUCAUUGUAAAAUAUUUUUACUUUUAUGUUUUUUUUUUUUUUUUAGGUGUGUUUUGUUUUUUUUUUUUUUUUUUUAAAUCAAUGUAAAAUAUGUAAAUCAAUGUAAAAAGACUUUGUUUAACCUUCCCCCACACUUAAACUAAAUAACACAAACUCAUAGAAAUCAACCAAAUAACACAACUAACUAAACAAAACAAAAUGAAAGCAGUAAAGAUAAGGGUGUAAGUUGAAUGCCUGGGUUGCCUCCCAAGAAGCGCUUGCUUUAACGUCCGCAGUCGGACGAAUCUUUCCUUUAAACUCCCUUCGGCUCCAAAGCAUGGAAUUUAUCUUUUAAUGGGAGGUGAUACUUGAAAUGAUUUGGCAAUGGUUUAAAUUCAAGAGUGGGUGCCUGAAUCAUCAAAAUCAGAAACAUUUAGUAUAAAUUAAAAUUAAAAUUGGAGAAGAUGGCUUACUUUCUUUUUCCGACACAAACUCAAUGACAAACACCACAUCUUUGAACAUUUCCGGGACUUUGAACUUGGCCAGGUUUACUAUGAUGGUUGUGGCUUGUCCCGUGUCAUCAAACUCAACUGCUUUGGGCUUGAUUGUCUCUCAUGCACAGCCUCUUGGAUGUAUUCUUGAUAUGCUUCAACCACUUCAUUUUCUUGAAUCCCUUUUCUUGGUGUGCAAGGUUCUUUGAACGUUUCAAUACCAUCGGGAACUUGUUUUGGUGCACCAAGAAUUGGGAUAUCACUUUGCACCUUUGGAAGAGCUUCCACAAUGUCUUUUUCACUCUCUUUGAUAUUUGGAAUAAAAAACCUGCAAGGACAAAGGACAUUCGGUGGAAUAAUGUUAGAAUGAAGUGAAUUUAGAACUUCCUCACCUGAGUUGGAUGACAUAGGGAUUUGAGGAGCUUGCAGCAAGAAUUCUUCUAAACUGCCCAGGUCGUCCUCCUCCUCUUCUGCUUGCAGCAGCAAUUCAUCCAUGGUCGGGCUGUGUUUGGAUGGUUCUGGGACAGCUUCAUCCUUCAUGUCACCUUCCAAAGUGAUGGCUUCAUCGAUUUCACUUUCUGCCUUUGAAUUUGCAAUGUUUGAGUUGGAAAGUUCACUUUGAUCUCGAAUCUGUGCCAUGAAUUCCACAAUCUGCCCAACUUGCAUAUCCAAUUCGUCCACUCUUUUGACUCGGUGUUGCAUCUCCUGGUUUUGAUUUUCUACUCCCUGAUUCAAAUAGGUGAGUAACUUAUUAAGUGUAUCAUUAUUCAAGGACGUACCUGAAUUGAAUUGGGCUGAUUGUUGUGGUGGCUGUGACGGUUCAUAUGGCCACUGAUAGAACUCUUCCGAUGGCGGCAAUUGUUCUUCUUUUUGUGAACCCUGCGUCAAAGAAAUUAGUCCUUCAAGAAUUUCAUUAUAAUUCACUGGCCUACUUUGAUUUGAUUGGAAUUGUUGUGGGGGAUACUGUGGCGGCUGCAUAGGUCUUGAAUAGAACUCGUCUUGCUGCCAAUAUCCACCUUGUUGAAAUUGUUGAGGUUCAUCCCACAUAUAAUCUGAAUUACCUCUCCAAUCUGAAUUGCAAGCGUUGGAAAACAUGUUGCCCCUUGAUUGGUUAUGGCCUUGAUAUCCCCAAACAUCUUCAUUUGCAGAAAAUUGAGGACUUUGAUAUCCUUGCCCAUAGGGCACAUCAAGUGUAGGGACACUUGGCAUUGUGGUCCGUUCGGCAUUAUGAGUCAAUUGAGCAGUGAGCUGUGCCAAUUGAGCUUGAAUGGUCGCAAGUGCCAUGUCUUGCUCCAUUUGUACCUAAAAUCAAAGAAAGAAAAAUAAAUCAAAAAUCAAAAGUAAAAUACACAAACACCAAUGUAAACAUAAACAAAAACAAAAAUAAAGGAAUUAGCAAAGUUGCUAAUCCCCGGCAACGGCGCCAAAAUUUGAUGUGAGAAUUACUUGACACACAAAUUAAACCCUCUUUUUGACAAUUGUAGUAAAGUAUGUAAGUAGGGUAUCGUUCUAGGCCGGGGAUUAGGAGGGAUUGCUAAUCUAUUCUAAAUUAAUUUAAAAAUAUUAAACAAGACUCAAGGACACAAAACUAGGCUAAAAACUCUAAUAACUCGAAACACACUUAGAAUGACUCAACAUAAUGAAAACAAUCAAUUUAGACACUAGGAACUGAAAUGGACGGAAAUUGAAUUAAAAGACUAACAACAAUGAAAACUAACUAAAUAAUAUAAUUUAAUAAUGGGGGGGUUUGGUUUUGACGAGAAGUAAAUUAAACUAAAUAAAUUACAGAAUUGACAAAAGCAUGAAUUAAGGUGAAAGGAUAGGUGACGGACUAGCUAGAGGGUUCUUCUCCACACAUGACACAUAUGCAACCUAAAUUGAUUUUCAGUUAUUUUUUCAAUAAAUUGUGAAUGACAAUGUUCCAAGUUAAUUAGGUCCGCUUAAAUUAACUCUUAGAUUUCCCUAGAUUCAUUGGAUUGAAUGGAAUACGCAUUACAACCAAAUUAUUCCUCAUCAAAGUCCCUAACUAUGGAAUACGCAUGAUAGAGACAUUCAACAAAGAUCAUUAAGUUCAACGGAAAUCAUAACAUUGACUAGGCAUUCUUAACUAUGGAAUACGCAUGUUAAUCCAGCCUAGAAUUCACUUAACACGAUUGUGGAUAACAACCUUCACUACUUGUGAAUAUAAGUUCAUAACGAUUAGGUGAAAUUCACUUAUAUUCUAGCAUCAAAUUCAUGCAUGUAAAUUAAGUAUGCAUUCUUAAUCGACAUACAAAAAUAAGUUAUCAAUCAAGCAGUUAAGCAAAUUAAAUCACAACUCUCAGAAAUCACAACUGAAGGUAAUCAAUUCAUAUUACAAAUAUAUUCAUGGCUUUGAAUUAACCUCUAGCCAAAAUAAAUUUAGUUACACAUUAUUUUCAAAUUAAACCAAAAGUAAAACAUGGGUUUGAGAAGAUAAAACCAAGAAAAAUGGAGUGAAACUUUGCUCUCUGUGUUGCUCCCGUCAGUUUCUCCUUGCCUUUGCCUUCUCUCCCCUCUGUCCUGCCUCUGCGAGCUGCCUUUCUCACGCUGCCAAGGGCAGCUUUUCUUCUCCCCCUCCAGUCAGUCCAUGCUGCUCCUUUAUAUCGUGUCCAUGCACUGCCCUCUCUUCUUCUUUUCUUUCUGUCCGCACUCAGUCCCGCACUACCUCUUUCAUUUUAUAUUUUUCUUUCUUUCCCAGCUGCUGUCCACUUCCUCUAACAGAC